rnacentral:rRNA from 1 species
AUUGAACGCUGGCGGCAUGCUUUACACAUGCAAGUCGAACGGCAGCGCGGGCUUCGGCCUGGCGGCGAGUGGCGAACGGGUGAGUAAUACAUCGGAACGUGCCCAGUCGUGGGGGAUAGCUCGGCGAAAGCCGGAUUAAUACCGCAUACGACCUGAGGGUGCAAGCGGGGGAUCUUCGGACCUCGCGCUAUUGUAGCGGCCGAUGGCAGAUUAGCUAGUUGGUGGGGUAAAGGCCUACCAAGGCGACGAUCGGUAGCUGGUCUGAGAGGACGACCAGCCACACUGGGACUGAGACACGGCCCAGACUCCUACGGGAGGCAGCAGUGGGGAAUUUUGGACAAUGGGCGAAAGCCUGAUCCAGCAAUGCCGCGUGUGUGAUGAAGGCCUUCGGGUUGUAAAGCACUUUUGGCGGGAACGAAAAGGACUGUGCCAAUACCACGGUUCGAUGACGGUACCCGCAGAAUAAGCACCGGCUAACUACGUG